UGGGGAAUAUUGCACAAUGGGCGCAAGCCUGAUGCAGCCAUGCCGCGUGUGUGAAGAAGGCCUUCGGGUUGUAAAGCACUUUCAGCGGGGAGGAAGGCGUUAAGGUUAAUAACCUUGGCGAUUGACGUUACCCGCAGAAGAAGCACAGGCUAACUCCGUGCCAGCAGCCGCGGUAAUACGGAGGGUGCAAGCGUUAAUCGGAAUUACUGGGCGUAAAGCGCACGCAGGCGGUCUGUCAAGUCGGAUGUGAAAUCCCCGGGCUCAACCUGGGAACUGCAUUCGAAACUGGCAGGCUGGAGACUUGUAGAGAGGGGUAGAAUACCAGGUGUAGCGGUGAAAUGCGUAGAGAUCUGGAAGAAUACCGGUGGCGAAGGCAGCCCCCUGGACAAAUACUGAAGCUCAGGUGCGAAAGCGUAGGGAGCAAACAGG
rnacentral:rRNA from 1 species